GAUGAACGCUGGCUACAGGCUUAACACAUGCAAGUCGAGGGGAAACGACGGGGAAGCUUGCUUCCCUGGGCGUCGACCGGCGCACGGGUGAGUAACGCGUAUCCAACCUGCCUCUGACUGAGGGAUAACCCGUCGAAAGUCGGCCUAAUACCUCAUGGCAUCGUCUGCGGGCAUCCAACGACGAUUAAAGAUUUCAUCGGUCAGGGAUGGGGAUUCGUCUGAUUAGCUAGUUGGCGGGGUAACGGCCCACCAAGGCGACGAUCAGUAGGGGUUCUGAGAGGAAGGUCCCCCACAUUGGAACUGAGACACGGUCCAAACUCCCUACGGGAGGCAGCAGUGAGGAAUAUUGGUCAAAUGGGCGAGAGCCCUGAAACUAAGCCAAAGU
rnacentral:rRNA from 1 species